rnacentral:sRNA from 1 species
UUCAUAUUUCAUAUAAAAGCAUAUAUUAUUGGCUUAUGGUUAUAUUGAACUUUUUUUCUUUAAUAAAAAAAUUAAAUAUAGAAGUUGCAUAUAAAAAAAAGUUUAUAUGAACAUAUACAUAUAUACUUGUAUACUCUUGUUUCUAUAUUUUUUAUUAUUAAUAUAAGUUCUUGACAUAUGAGAAUAAAACAUUGUAUAUAUUAAAUAAAUAUGAAAGGUUGAUCACCUGGUAUUUUCUAUUUCAUUGUUUCAAAUUAUGAGGUAAUGUAUAUAAUGAAUGUCCACAUAAAAUGAAUAAUUAUAUGUACAUUUAUAUAUAUAUAUGUAAAUUUUUUUAAUGUUUUAUUUUAUAUAAAUAAUAAUAUUGUGCAUAAUGUAUUCAUAUAUUUCUUGAAAAAUAUUUAUAUCUUCAUUUUUUUUUUUUUUUUAACACUCAAUUGAGAAAUAUGAUCAUUGUAAAAAUAUAGAGAUGGUAUUCUAUCAAACCAUAGUGUAUCCAUAUGACAUAUAAAUUAUUAUGUAUGACAUAUAAAUUGUUAUGUAUGUCAUAUAAAUUAUCAUGUAUGAUAUAUUAAAUAUAUUGUAUAUAUUUAUAUAACAUUUAUAAUAUAUACAUAUUACAUAUAUAGAAUUUUAUUUAAAAAAAUAAUUUCCAUGCCACAAUAUUUUUUUUUUUACACACAAAAUAAUAUGCACUUUAAAUGAUAUGUAUAAUAUGUAUAACAUAUUUUUUAUAUAUGUACAGUUUUUUUUAAAUAUAUUUUAAUAUAAAGUAAAAAUAAUAUAUAAUUAACAAAAAAAAAAAAAAAAAAAAAAAAAAAAAAAAAAAAAAAAAUAAAAUUAUAGUAUGGUAAUAAAUAUAUAUUAUUUCAUAUAUGUCUGAUAUUAUAAAUUAUUAUUAUUAUUUUUUUUUUUUUUUUUUUUUUUAUUUUUUUUGUAUAUAUUGUAAAAUAGGAACUGCAUAUGCAUGUAAUUUUAUGUAUAUAUAAUAUUUUCCUUUAUAUGUGUAUUAUUUUAUUUUAUUUUUACAUUAUAUUUUACCACGUUUACACGUAACGCAUGUUAAUUUUUUUUGUGAGCGCAUCGGAUGUAUGAUAUCUAAAAAGAAGAAAUAAAAUAUGAAAAGUUUAAAAAAUAUAAAAAAAUAAAUAUCUUUUU